rnacentral:rRNA from 1 species
GUGGGGAAUAUUGGACAAUGGGCGCAAGCCUGAUCCAGCCAUGCCGCGUGAGUGAUGAAGGCCUUAGGGUUGUAAAGCUCUUUCAGUGGGGAUGAUAAUGACGGUACCCACAGAAGAAGCCCCGGCUAACUUCGUGCCAGCAGCCGCGGUAAUACGAAGGGGGCUAGCGUUGUGCGGAUUUACUGGGCGUAAAGCGCACGUAGGCGGAUCGUUAAGUCGGGGGUGAAAUCCUGGGGCUCAACUCCAGAACUGCCUUCGAUACUGGCGAUCUUGAGUGCGGAAGAGGUGAGUGGAACUCCUAGUGUAGAGGUGGAAUUCGUAGAUAUUAGGAAGAACACCAGUGGCGAAGGCGGCUCACUGGCUCGAUACUGACGCUGAGGUGCGAAAGCGUGGGGAGCAAACAGGAUUAGAUACCCUUGUAGUCC